rnacentral:lncRNA from 1 species
GGAGAGAGAGCUGAGGGACAGGGUGGAUGCAAAGAGGAGGCAAAGGACAUGAGGGAAGAAAGAGUCCUAGGGGGCUGGGGUGGGCAGGAUCCUGGGCCUUCCUCUGGGAACCUGACUGGAACCUGGGAUCUGCUGGUGUUCUCUAUUCAUUCCUCUUUGGCAAAGCUAGGACCCAAGCCUGCUCUUCUUGCUCCAUUCUUGUGUUCCUUGUGUGCUGGGGUUUCAUCUCUAGGUGUGAAGCAGCUGUGCCCACUAGCCAGGUCAAUGGAAAUGGACAUUUUCUGUCAAUGCUGGUGUCAAUGUGGCCAAGGGAAGCGCCCACCAGCACCAGCAUCUAUGCCUCCCUGACUUUCCACAUUCGGCCUGGCCAGCACUCACCUUGGGAAGUUACUUCCUUACAGCUAAACGGAGCUGCUUCUCAGAUCCUUGGGCUGUUGGUUUGUUUGAUGGGAGUCACCAGAUCACAGAAGAACUCUAGUUGCAGAGUGGAAGAAUGAGGACAGUCAAAGGAAGAGAGAAGACUUUGAAAAAACUAGAGCUGGAAACCAAGAAGCCAGUAAGCUUGGAUGAGGGGAACGGGAAAGAGAUGCACCCUAAGGCAAAGCCUGAGAAACUGGCAGCCCACAAAAGCAGGGGUCCUGCUCCUGAGCGGCAAUGUCCAUCCACUCCCACAUCCAUGCACCCCUCUUAUAUGUCUGUUCUUGCCGUCCAGUAUUUAAAGGAUGGGAAAAGAAGGGCCCUCCAGCAAAGAGAAUAAUGGGUGCCCAGUGAUGCAGGAAGAAACAGGGGACUGAGGUACCCAAAGCCAAGUAAAAAAUUCAAGAAGAAGCGAGUGGUGCCGGGCGCGGUGGCUCACGCCUGUAAUCCCAGCACGUUGGGAGGCCGAGGCAGGUGGAUCACUUGAGGUUAGGAGUUUGAGACCAGCCUGGCCAAUAUGGUGAAACCCCAUCUCUACUAAAAAUACAAAAAUUAGCUGGGCGUGGUGGCAGGCGCCUCUAAUCCCAGCUACUCAGGAGGCUGAGGCAGGAGAAUUGAUUGAAUCCGGAAGGCGGAGGUUGCAGUGAGCAAAGAUCGCGUUACUGCACUCCAGCCUGGCCAACAUAGUGAGACUACAUCUCAAAAAAAAAAAAAAAAAGGCACUUUGGGAGGCCGAGGCGGGUGGAUCACCUGAGGUCAGGAGUUCGAGAUCAGCCUGGCCAACAUAGUGAAACCCCAUCUCUACUAAAAAUACCAAAAAUUAGCCUGUAAUCCCAGCUAUUCAGGAGGCUGAGACAGGAGAAUCGCUUGAACCCGGGAGGUGGAGGUUGCAGUGAGUCGAGAUCACGCCAUUGCCCUCCAGCCUGGGCAACAAGAGCAAAACUCCAUUUCCAAAAAAGAAGAAGAAGAAGGGAGUGAUCUACUGAGCUCAAGUCACUGUCCGUGGAGUCCGGUGAGGAUUACUGAGACUUAACCAUCAGAACUGGCAAAAAGGGAACGCUUGUCAAUCCCAGCCAGAGCGCUUUCAAGACAAUAUGAGAGGGGAAAAAGAGAAAAUGAUGAAUAUCAGUUUCUCUUUUGAAUUUUGCUUCCAGAAGCAGAUAUAUAUAUAUAUAUACUUAUACAAAGAUUCAUUAUUCAUGUGAGAAACAUUUAUUGAGGCUCUAAUCUCUGCAGGUUCUAUUCUAGGCUCCGUGUACCCAGAAGUAAGCAGCACAGUCCUUGCCCUUGGCUUCUCGCAAAGUAAUCAGUGAAUGAAUGGGAUGAAGCCUCACUUCUCCCACUGACAAUUUUAGCUUCAUUUUCAUAGCUGUUCAAACAGAUACUAGAAAUCUGUGCCCUCUCUGUUUAUGAAGUUCAGCAUGUCCCAGCUUUUCUAACCUGUCCCUAUUCCAAAUGUUUUGACCUAUUGCCAUACCAUGUAGUCACACUGGAUUCUAAUUUUUGAUUUAGAAAAUGUGGUCAUUACUGGAUUAUUUCGAGAAUCAAAAGAAUCAAAGAACAUCACUUCUGUGAUGUGCUAAGUGCUCUAUCAGUAGAAGGCAUUAUUCAAAACUGGCUUAGACUAGAGAGGCAGGUUCAGCCACUUCUUUCUUUGUGCAUUCAGGGUAACCUGUACGUCCUUCCUUCCCAGCACCAAUCUCCUUUCUUUUUAAUGUGUUUUAAGGUAUGUGCCUCUCAUUCCAAAUUGUA